rnacentral:rRNA from 1 species
CGGACGGGUGAGGAAUACAUCGGAAUCUACUCUGUCGUGGGGGAUAACGUAGGGAAACUUACGCUAAUACCGCAUACGACCUACGGGUGAAAGCAGGGGAUCUUCGGGCCUUGCGCUAUCAGAUGAGCCUAGGUCGGAUUAGCUAGUUGGUGAGGUAAUGGCUCACCAAGGCGACGAUCCGUAACUGGUCUGAGAGGAUGAUCAGUCACACUGGAACUGAGACACGGUCCAGACUCCUACGGGAGGCAGCAGAG